rnacentral:rRNA from 1 species
CGGGAGGCAGCAGUGAGGAAUAUUGGACAAUGGGCGCAAGCCUGAUCCAGCCAUGCCGCGUGCAGGAAGACUGCCCUAUGGGUUGUAAACUGCUUUUAUAUAGGAAGAAACCUUGGUACGUGUACCAAGCUGACGGUACUAUAAGAAUAAGGAUCGGCUAACUCCGUGCCAGCAGCCGCGGUAAUACGGAGGAUCCAAGCGUUAUCCGGAAUCAUUGGGUUUAAAGGGUCCGUAGGUGGAUAAUUAAGUCAGAGGUGAAAUCUUGCAGCUCAACUGUAAAAUUGCCUUUGAUACUGGUUAUCUUGAGUUAUUAUGAAGUAGUUAGAAUAUGUAGUGUAGCGGUGAAAUGCAUAGAUAUUACAUAGAAUACCAAUUGCGAAGGCAGAUUACUAAUAAUCAACUGACACUGAUGGACGAAAGCGUGGGUAGCGAACAGGAUUAGAUACCCUGGUAGUCCACGCCGUAAACGAUGGAUACUAGCUGUCCGGUCUUCGGACUGGGUGGCCAAGCGAAAGUGAUAAGUAUCCCACCUGGGGAGUACGGUCGCAAGACUAAAACUCAAAGGAAUUG